rnacentral:rRNA from 1 species
UACGGGGGGAGCAAGCGUUGUUCGGAUUUACUGGGCGUAAAGGGCGCGUAGGCGGUCACGACAAGUCAGUUGUGAAAUCUCCGGGCUUAACUCGGAACGGUCAACUGAUACUGUCGGACUAGAGUGCAGAAGGGGCAACUGGAAUUCUCGGUGUAGCGGUGAAAUGCGUAGAUAUCGAGAGGAACACCGAUGGCGAAGGCAGGUCUCUGGGCCAUAACUGACGCUGAGAAGCGAAAGCAUGGGGAGCAAACAGG